rnacentral:rRNA from 3 species
GGGUGACCUCAGAUCAGGUAGG